rnacentral:sRNA from 1 species
UGAGAAAGGGUUUAUAUCUGCAGUCCGA